ensembl:lncRNA
CUCCAAAUGUGCCAGGCCCCCCUCCAGCCUGAGCCCCAAAAGCAGCCCCAAGUGAGCCUGGUUCUCUUCCAUCCUGGGCCCCAAAGCCCUGGCUGUGCCUGGGCCUUCUUUUGUCUGGGCCCAGACGAGGCCUCAACUAUGCCAGGCCGCCUUCCAUCCUGGGCCCCAAAGCAGCCCUAACUGUGCCUGGUCCUCCUCCAUCCUGGGCCCGAAAGCAGCCCAUACUGGGUCUGGUCCUUCUUGAUCCUGGGUCGCAAGGCCCUAGCUGUAACUGGGCCCUUUUUGGUCUGGGCCCAGAGGAGGCCUCAACUCUGCUAGGCCCGACUCCAGCUCGGGCCCCAAAAGCAGCCCGAACUGCGCCCGGUCCUCCUCCAUCCUGGGCCCCAAAGCAGCCCCAACUGUGCCUGGUCCUGCUUCAUCCUGGGCACCAAGAGCCUGGCUGUGCCGGGGCUCCCUUUGGUCUGGGCCAAGAGCAGGCCUCAACUGUGCCAGGCCCCCCUCCAGCCCAGGCCCCAAAGCAGCCCCAACUGUGCCUGCUCCUCCUCCAUCCUGGGCCCCAAAGCAGCCCCAACUGUGCCUGCUCCUCCUCCAUCCUAGGCCCCAAAGCAGCCCCAACUGCGCCCGGUCCUCCUCCAUCCUGGGCCCCAAAGCAGCCCCAACUGUGCCUGGUCCUGCUUCAUCCUGGGCACCAAGAGCCUGGCUGUGCCGGGGCUCCCUUUGGUCUGGGCCAAGAGCAGGCCUCAACUGUGCCAGGCCCCCCUCCAGCCCAGGCCCCAAAGCAGCCCCAACUGUGCCAGGCACCUUUCCAGCUCGGGCCCCAAGGCAGCCCCAACUGUGCCUGGUCCUCCUCCAUCCUGGGCCCCAAGGCAGCCCCAACUGUGUCUGGUCCUCCUCCAUCCUAGGCCCCAACUGCGCCCAGGCUGUGCCUGGGCUCCCUUCUGUCUGGGCCCAGACAAGGCCUCACCUGUGCCUGGUCCAGCCCGGGCCCCAAAUCUGCCCCAUCUGUGCCAGGCCCCACUCCAGCCCAAGCCCCAAAGCCACCCCAACUGUGCAAGGCCCAUCUCCAGCCAAGGCCUCAAAGCAGCUCCAAAUGUGCCAGGCCCCCCUCCAGCCUGAGCCCCAAAAGCAGCCCCAAGUGAGCCUGGUUCUCUUCCAUCCUGGGCCCCAAAGCCCUGGCUGUGCCUGGGCCUUCUUUUGUCUGGGCCCAGACGAGGCCUCAACUAUGCCAGGCCGCCUUCCAUCCUGGGCCCCAAAGCAGCCCCAACUGUGCCUGGUCCUCCUCCAUCCUGGGCCCCAAGGCCCAGGCUGUGCCGGGGCUCCCUUUGGUCUGGGAAAAGAGCAGGCCUCAACUGUGCCAGGCCCCCCUCCAGCCCAGGCCCCAAAGCAGCCCCAACUGUGCCUGCUCCUCCUCC